AGAAAAAAAAAAGAAAGAAAGGCUUUUUGAUCAACCAGCUCGUUAUGCUUUCAGGCCCCACGGAUACCACUUCUGGGGCAAUGGCUUCUCUGAGAGUCAAUCUGUUUAGUUACGUUUAUGAAUAUCAAGGACUGUUUAAAUCUCUACAGGAAAGAGCUAAACACCUGCUUUCUGGGCCAGCCUCAAUCUACUUAUCUUAAUCUGCCCGCAGACCUUUCAAAUGUGGGGCCUCCUUCAACCUGAUUUUCUCUGCAGCUUCGAAAACGAUGGGCAACUAAGAUCCUCCCCCUCCUUCUCAGUGACUGCCAGAUGCUUCAAGUGGAUCCCAAGAGCAGAGAAUUAGAACUUGAGUCAUUUUGCUUCCAGUGGACUGAAAUGGGGUUGAGAGGCAUUGCAGAGCAGGCUCAUCUAGAGGGGGAUACCAGAGUCCACAGCAGCUGCCCAGUUGGAGAGUGGCCAGCAGCCAAUCACAGCCAAUGCCACUGGGAGUCUAUCAGAUCCUUCAAGGCCACAGACAGGACUCUGCCAAAUGCAUCGCGAUGUCUUGGAAACACACAAAGAAUUCAACACGGAAGAGGAAGCAUCAACGACUAACAAAUAGAAAAUGUUUCAUCUCGUAAGUAUUAAGGAAAUGCUAAUUAAUGCCAGAAAAAGCUGCCGUUUUAUACUGACAAGAUUGGCAAAAAGGUAAACGCUGGGCAAUAAAAGAAUAUUACCAAGGAUGGGAUCAACGGGGACUCAUACACCAAUGUUACAUGUGUGCAACCAUUUUGCAAAAAUACUUGGAAAUAAGUAGAAAACGUUCGUACCUUUUGACCCAGCAAUCUCACACCAAUUUAGCAAUCUCACCCCAGCUUACAAAAUCUGGAGAAACCCUCCCACAUGUGUACCACAACAUGUGCAAAACACAUUCAGAGCAUCACAAUUUAUAACAGUAAAAAGCAUUUCAAAUUUGCUAUUCAUAACAGCAAGUAGCACCCCAUAUAUCUGUCAA